UCAGCGCAGACUUUCGUUUCUGGGCUGUUACAUAACUGCACCGAGCCUUUGCAGGAGCCCUCCCGCUUUCAGCGUGAUCAAACCCAUUUGGAGGCUGGGAAACUGAGACAGGGAAAAGUUUAGGCCUGCAGGUGCCAUGGUUGCACUUACAAAUUAGCUCCUUGAGCAUCAUCAUCCAAGCACCAUUUACUGCGGUGGAGGCUUGUCAUCAGAGACCAGCCAUUGCCAUGGAGUCUGAGGAUCAUCUGAUUCCCCCUGAGAGAGUCCUCCACUAUUUCUCAGUUAAACAUUCCAGGCCUCACUAAGCAGGAGGCAAUACUCAGCCUAUGUACUGUGAAAGCAUAAAGCAACAGCAGAGCUCCCUCUAACAGAUACCCAGGAAUAAAGGACAUUAAUCAUAUAAAACACUA